rnacentral:rRNA from 1 species
AGCGAACGCUGGCGGCAGGCCUAACACAUGCAAGUCGAACGAACCUUUAGGGGUUAGUGGCGGACGGGUGAGUAACACGUGGGAACGUGCCGGUAGAUUCGGGAUAACACAGGGAAACUGGGGCUAAUACAGAGAGUGCCCUGCGGGGGAAAGAUUAAUCGCCUUUAGAGAGGCCCGGGUCCGAUGAGCUAGUUGGUUGAGGUAAUGGCGCCCCAAGGCGACGAUCAGUAGCUGGUCUGAGAGGAUGAUCAGCCACAUUGGGACUGGGACACGGCCCAAACUCCUACGGGAGGCAGCCGUGGGGAAUCUUGCGCAAUGGGCGAAAGCCUGACGCAGCCAUGCCGCGUGAAUGCUGAAGGUCUUAGGAUUGUACAAUUCUUUCACCGGGGACGAUAAUGACGGUACCCGGAGAAGAAGCCCCGGCUAACUUCGUG